GCCAGAAUGGUGUAGUGGUUUGAGCGCUGGAUUCUGACUCAGGAGACCAGGGUUCAAAUCCUCACUUGGCCA
rnacentral:tRNA from 1 species